UUAAGGCGAUUGGGAUAACUAUGGUUAAGGAACUCGGCAAAUUGCCUCCGUAACUUCGGGAGAAGGAGGACCCCAGUAGCGUGAUGAGACUUGCUCUCUGAGCGUGAAGGGGUGGCACAAAAUUGAGGGAAGCGACUGUUUACCAAAACCACAGCAGCGUGCUAAGCCGUAAGGCGCUGUAUACGCUGUGACUCCUGCCCGGUGCUGGAAGGUUACGGGGAUGGGUUAGUCCUUCGGGACGAAGCUCUGAACCUAAGCCCCAGUAAACGGCGGCCGUAACUAUAACGGUCCUAAGGUAGCGAAAUUCCUUGUCGGGUAAGUUCCGACCUGCACGAAUGGAGUAACGACUUCCCUACUGUCUCAACCAUAGACCCAGCGAAAUUGAAGUACGAGUAAAGAUGCUCGUUAGCUGCAGAAGGACGGAAAGACACCGUGGACCUUUACUAUAACUUGAUGUUGUGUUUUGUCAUAUGUUGUGUAGGAUAGGUGGGAGACUUGGAAGCAUGGACGCUAGUCUGUGUGGAGUCAUCGUUGAAAUACCACCCUGCAUACGGUGAGGCUCUAACCUAGACCCGUUAUCCGGGUUGGGGACAGCGUCAGGCGGGUAGUUUAACUGGGGCGGUUGCCUCCUAAAGAGUAACGGAGGCGCCCAAAGGUUCCCUCAGCCUGGUUGGCAAUCAGGCGUUGAGUGCAAUGGCAAAAGGGAGCUUGACUGCGAGACCUACAAGUCGAGCAGGAGCGAAAGCUGGGCAUAGUGAUCCGGCGGUUGCGUGUGGAAGCGCCGUCGCUCAACGGAUAAAAGGUACCCCGGGGAUAACAGGCUAAUCUUGCCCAAGCGUCCAUAGCGACGGCAAGGUUUGGCACCUCGAUGUCGGCUCAUCGCAUCCUGGGGCUGAAGCAGGUCCCAAGGGUUGGGCUGUUCGCCCAUUAAAGCGGUACGCGGGCUGGGUUCAGAACGUCGUGAGACAGUUCGGUCCCUAUCCUCUGCAGCCGGAGGUGAAUUGAGGAAAGCUGUCCCUAGUACGAGAGGACCGGGACGGACGCAGCUCUCGUGUGCCAGUUGUCCUGCCAAGGGCAUGGCUGGUUAGCGACCUGCGGAAAGGAUAACCGCUGAAAGCAUCUAAGCGGGAAGCCUCUUCCAAGAUGAAUUCACCCACAGGGUUAACCUGGUAAGGCCCGUGGUAGACCACCACGUUGAUA
rnacentral:rRNA from 1 species